rnacentral:rRNA from 1 species
GACGAACGCUGGCGGCGUGCUUAACACAUGCAAGUCGAGCGAGGUCCAUCCAGUGGCAACACUGGGGAAGACCUAGCGGCGAACGGGUGAGUAACACGUGAGCAACCUGCCCCGAAGACUGGGAGUAACACCGGGAAACCGGGUGCUAAUACCGGAUGCCCUCACCGGGCCGCAUGACCUGGUGAGGAAAUGAAUUUUGCUCGGGAGGGGCUCGCGGGCUAUCAGCUUGUUGGUGAGGUAACGGCUCACCAAGGCUACGACGGCUAGCUGGUCUGAGAGGACGAUCAGCCACACUGGGACUGAGACACGGCCCAGACUCCGUACGGGAGGCAGCAGUGGGGAAUCUUGCGCAAUGGGCGAAAGCCUGACGCA